rnacentral:rRNA from 1 species
GACGUAGGGCGCGAGCGUUGUCCGGAUUUAUUGGGCGUAAAGAGCUCGUAGCGGUCUGUUGCGUCCGCUGUGAAAACUCGGGGCUUAACCCCGAGCCUGCAGUGGAUACGGGCAGACUAGAGGUAGGUAGGGGAGAAUGGAAUUCCCGGUGUAGCGGUGGAAUGCGCAGAUAUCAGGAGGAACACCGAUGGCGAAGGCAGUUCUCUGGGCCGUAACUGACGCUGAGGAGCGAAAGCGUGGGGAGCGAACAGG